UCUGGCAAUGUCUGUCAACAGGUGUUGGCCUGAAAUUUGGCCGGGCACGUUGGCUCAUGCCUGUAAUCCCAGCACUGUGUGAGGCCGAGGCGGAUGGAUCGCUUGAGGUCAAGAGUUAAAUUGCCAUCAUCUGAGAAAGGCCUGUUAGAGCCCCUGUCCAGGUGAUUCCCACCCUGUGUCCUCUUAGUUAUCACUAUUCUGAUGUCUAUUCCCACAGGUUACAAUUGCCUGUUCUUAAAGUUCACAUGAGUGAAUGUACAUAUGUUUUGUGUCUGGCCUUUUUCUCCAGUUACAUUCAUUAUACUCAUGAGAUAUAUCCACGUAGUUUCAUAGAUCACUUCUCAAUUUUGGGGUUAUUGAUUUCUUGUGCUGAAUAUUCUUAUAACAGUCUUUGUGUGCACUUGAGAUUCAUGGAAGUCCUUCAAUUGCUGGGUCAUGACCUGAGUAUAAGUUUAACAUCAGUAUAAAUUGCCAGUCUUCUAGAAUGCUUUUUCGCCAGCGAUGACAGUUGAAGUGGCACCAAAUUCUUGUCAGCAUUUGGUGUACUAACUUUGUUAAAUGUAGCUAUGCUCUCAGACCAGGCUGGCCAACAUGGCAAAACCCUGUCUCUACUCAAAAUACAAAAAUUAGCUGGGCAUGGUGGCAUCGGGCUCUUUUUUGGUUCCAUAUGAACUUUAAAGUAGUUUUUUCCAAUUCUGUGAAGAAAGUCAUUGGUAGCUUGAUGGGGAUGGCAUGGAAUCUAUAAAUUACCUUGGGCAGUAUGACCAUUUUCCCGAUAGUGAUUCUUCCUACCCAUGAGCGUGGAAUGUUCUUCCAUUUGUUUGUAUCCUGUUUUAUUUUGUUGAGCAGUGUUUUGUAGUUCUCCUUGAAGAGGUCCUUCAC
rnacentral:lncRNA from 1 species